rnacentral:rRNA from 1 species
AGCGAACGCUGGCGGCAUGCCUAACACAUGCAAGUCGAACGAGACCUUCGGGUCUAGUGGCGCACGGGUGCGUAACGCGUGGGAACCUGCCCUUAGGCUCGGAAUAACUCCCCGAAAGGGGUGCUAAUACCGGAUAAUGUCUUCGGACCAAAGAUUUAUCGCCUUUGGAUGGGCCCGCGUUGGAUUAGCUAGUUGGUAGGGUAAAAGCCUACCAAGGCGACGAUCCAUAGCUGGUCUGAGAGGAUGAUCAGCCACACUGGGACUGAGACACGGCCCAGACUCCUACGGGAGGCAGCAGUGGGGAAUAUUGGACAAUGGGCGAAAGCCUGAUCCAGCAAUGCCGCGUGAGUGAUGAAGGCCUUAGGGUUGUAAAGCUCUUUUACCCGGGAUGAUAAUGACAGUACCGGGAGAAUAAGCUCCGGCUAACUCCGUG